UAGGGAAUCUUCGGCAAUGGACGAAAGUCUGACCGAGCAACGCCGCGUGAGUGAAGAAGGUUUUCGGAUCGUAAAACUCUGUUGUUAGUGAAGAACAAGGACGUUAGUAACUGAACGUCCCCUGACGGCAUCUAACCAGAAAGCCACGGCUAACUACGUGCCACCAGCCGCGGUAAUAUGUAGGUGGCAAGCGUUGUCCGGAUUUAUUGGGCGUAAAGCGAGCGCAGGCGGUUUCUUAAGAAUGAUGUGAAAGCCCCCAGCUCAACCGGGGGAGGUCAUUGGAAGCUGGGAGAGUUGAGUGCAGAAGAGGAGAGUGGAAUUCCAUGUGUAGCGGUGAAAUGCGUAGAUAUAUGGAGGAACACCAGUGGAGAAGGCGGCUCUCUGGUCUGUAACUGACGCUGAGGCUCGAAAGCGUGGGGAGCAAACAGG
rnacentral:rRNA from 1 species